UGCGUAGGUGGCAAGCGUUGUCCGGAUUUAUUGGGUUUAAAGGGUGCGUAGGCGGCUUAAUAAGUCAGUGGUGAAAGCCGAUCGCUUAACGAUCGAACUGCCAUUGAUACUGCUAGGCUUGAGUAUAGAUGAGGUAGGCGGAAUUGACAGUGUAGCGGUGAAAUGCAUAGAUAUUGUCAAGAACACCAAUUGCGAAGGCAGCUUACUAAGUUAUAACUGACGCUGAGGCACGAAAAGUGCGGGGGAUCAAAACAGGAUUAGAAAACCCCCUGU
rnacentral:rRNA from 1 species